UACAGAGGGGGCGAGCGUUGUUCGGAAUUACUGGACGUAAAGGGCGCGUAGGCGGCCUUCUAAGUCGAACGUGAAAUCCCCGGGCUCAACCCGGGAACUGCGUCCGAUACUGGGAGGCUUGAAUCCGGGAGAGGGAUGUGGAAUUCCAGGUGUAGCGGUGAAAUGCGUAGAUAUCUGGAGGAACACCCGUGGCGAAGGCGGUUCUCUGGGACGGUACUGACGCUGAGACGCGAAAGCGUGGGGAGCGAACAGG
rnacentral:rRNA from 1 species